rnacentral:rRNA from 1 species
CAAGAAUUUGCCCCAGUAACGGCGAGUGAAGCGGCAACAGCUCAAAUUUGAAAUCUGGCCCCCCCCGGGGGGCCCGAGUUGUAAUUUGCAGAGGAUGCUUUGGGCGAGGCGCCUUCCGAGUUCCCUGGAACGGGACGCCACAGAGGGUGAGAGCCCCGUCUGGUCGGACGCCGAGCCUCUGUAAAGCUCCUUCGACGAGUCGAGUAGUUUGGGAAUGCUGCUCAAAAUGGGAGGUAUAUGUCUUCUAAAGCUAAAUACCGGCCAGAGACCGAUAGCGCACAAGUAGAGUGAUCGAAAGAUGAAAAGCACCUUGAAAAGGGGGUUAAACGUCCGUGAAAUUGUUGAAAGGGAACGCUCGUGACCAGACUUGGGGCGGGCGGUCAGCCUUCGUUCUCGCCGGCGCACUCCGCCCGUCCCAGGCCAGCAUCAGUUCGCGCCGGGGGACAAAGGCGGCGGGAACGUGGCUCCCCAGGGAGUGUUAUAGCCCGCCGCGCCAUGCCCCGGGGGCGGACUGAGGCCCGCGCAUCACUGCAAGGAUGCUGGCGUAAUGGUCACCAGCGACCCGUCUUGA